rnacentral:rRNA from 1 species
GAUGAAUGCUGGCGGCGCGCCUAACACAUGCAAGUCGAGCGGAAAGGCCCUUCGGGGUACUCGAGCGGCGGACGGCUGAGUAACGCGUGGGAACAUGCCCCAAAGUGAGGAAUAACUGCCCGAAAGGGUAGCUAAUACCGCAUAUGAUCUUCGGAUUAAAGGAUUUAUCCGCUUUGGGAGUGGCCCGCGUACGAUUAGGUAGUUGGUGAGGUAAAGGCUCACCAAGCCUACGAUCGUUAACUGGUCUGAGAGGAUGAUCAGUCAGACUGGAACUGAGACACGGUCCAGACUCCUACGGGAGGCAGCAGUGAGGAAUCUUCCACAAUGGGCGAAAGCCUGAUGGAGCGACGCCGCGUGCAGGAUGAAGGCCUUCGGGUUGUAAACUGCUUUUAUAAGUGAAGAAUAUGACGGUAACUUAUGAAUAAGCACCGGCUAACUACGUGCCAGCAGCCGCAGUAAUAC